rnacentral:rRNA from 1 species
UGCGUAGGCGGAUCAAUAAGUCAGUGGUGAAAUCUCUCGGCUCAACCGGGAAACUGCCAUUGAUACUGUUGAUCUUGAGUUCGGUUGAGGUAGGCGGAAUGUGUAAUGUAGCGGUGAAAUGCUUAGAUAUUACACAGAACACCAAUUGCGUAGGCAGCUUACUAGACCGACACUGACGCUGAGGCACGAAAGAGUGGGGAGCGAACAGGAUUAGAUACCCUGGUAGUC